UACGUAGGGUGCGAGCGUUAAUCGGAAUUACUGGGCGUAAAGCGUGCGCAGGCGGUCUGUUAAGACCGAUGUGAAAAUCCCCCGGGCUUAACCUGGGAACUGCAUUGGUGACUGGCAGGCUUUGAGUGUGGCAGAGGGAGGUAGAAUUCCACGUGUAGCAGUGAAAUGCGUAGAGAUGUGGAGGAAUACCGAUGGCGAAGGCAGCCUCCUGGGCCAACACUGACGCUGAAGCACGAAAGCGUGGGGAGCAAACAGG
rnacentral:rRNA from 1 species